UUUUUCGGUUAUCAUGGUACCGGUGCUGUAUACGUGAAAGGUACAGUACUGUGAUAACUGAAGAAUGGUGGU
ensembl:miRNA microRNA 101-2